rnacentral:ncRNA from 1 species
UUAAAAACCAUGAUAGAGGAAGAUUGUUUCAAGAAGCUGCCUUUUAGGGAGAAUGCAUCGUAGACUGAAAGUGCAUUUAAGGAAUGCUGAAACAGGAAUUCACCUCUGGAGUUGUCACCGGGACCGCAGGUUUUGCGUAAAGGUGAACCGGAUUCGUUUGAUUCCGUUAUGUCAAUGAAGCUUAUUCGCACAUGCAUUUGUGCUUAACAAGGGUGGUACCGCGACCACAACUCGUCCCUUCU